UACGUAGGGUGCAAGCGUUAAUCGGAAUUACUGGGCGUAAAGCGUGCGCAGGCGGUUGUGCAAGACAGAUGUGAAAUCCCCGGGCUCAACCUGGGAAUUGCAUUUGUGACUGCACGGCUAGAGUGUGUCGAGAGGGGGGUAGAAUUCCACGUGUAGCAGUGAAAUGCGUAGAGAUGUGGAGGAAUACCGAUGGCGAAGGCCAGCCCCCUGGGAUAACACUGACGCUCAUGCACGAAAGCGUGGGGAGCAAACAGG
rnacentral:rRNA from 1 species